rnacentral:rRNA from 1 species
CAGUCGCCGCGGGAAUACGUAGGUCCCGAGCGUUGUCCGGAUUUAUUGGGCGUAAAGCGAGCGCAGGCGGUUUGAUAAGUCUGAAGUUAAAGGCUGUGGCUCAACCACAGUUCGCUUUGGAAACUGUCAAACUUGAGUGCAGAAGGGGAGAGUGGAAUUCCAUGUGUAGCGGUGAAAUGCGUAGAUAUAUGGAGGAACACCGGUGGCGAAAGCGGCUCUCUGGUCUGUAACUGACGCUGAGGCUCGAAAGCGUGGGGAGCGAACAGGAUUAGAUACCCGUGUAGUCCCUGUCUCUUAUACA